rnacentral:piRNA from 1 species
UCAGGCAAUUGACUCAUCUGAGACUACAGC